AUUGAACGCUGGCGGCAUGCUUUACACAUGCAAGUCGAACGGUAACAGGCCGCAAGGUGCUGACGAGUGGCGAACGGGUGAGUAAUGCAUCGGAACGUGCCCAGUCGUGGGGGAUAACGCAGCGAAAGCUGCGCUAAUACCGCAUACGAUCUAUGGAUGAAAGCGGGGGACCGUAAGGCCUCGCGCGAUUGGAGCGGCCGAUGUCAGAUUAGGUAGUUGGUGGGGUAAAGGCGCACCAAGCCAACGAUCUGUAGCUGGUCGGAGAGGACGACCAGCCACACUGGGACUGAGACACGGCCCAGACUCCUACGGGAGGCAGCAGUGGGGAAUUUUGGACAAUGGGCGCAAGCCUGAUCCAGCAAUGCCGCGUGCAGGAAGAAGGCCUUCGGGUUGUAAACUGCUUUUGUACGGAACGAAACGGCUCUCACUAAUACUGGGGGCUAAUGACGGUACCGUAAGAAUAAGCACCGGCUAACUACGUGCCAGCCGCCGCCGUAAAAC
rnacentral:rRNA from 1 species